rnacentral:rRNA from 1 species
AGCGAACGCUGGCGGCAGGCCUAACACAUGCAAGUCGAACGAACCCUUCGGGGUUAGUGGCGGACGGGUGAGUAACACGUGGGAACGUGCCCUUUGGUUCGGAACAACUCAGGGAAACUUGAGCUAAUACCGAAUGUGCCCUUCGGGGGAAAGAUUUAUCGCCAUUGGAGCGGCCCGCGUCUGAUUAGCUUGUUGGUGAGGUAAAGGCUCACCAAGGCUACGAUCAGUAGCUGGUCUGAGAGGAUGAUCAGCCACAUUGGGACUGAGACACGGCCCAAACUCCUACGGGAGGCAGCAGUGGGGAAUCUUGCGCAAUGGGCGAAAGCCUGACGCAGCCAUGCCGCGUGAAUGAUGAAGGUCUUAGGAUUGUAAAAUUCUUUCACCGGGGACGAUAAUGACGGUACCCGGAGAAGAAGCCCCUGCUAACUUCGUGCCAGCCGCCGCGGUAAAAC